GAUGAACGCUGGCGGCGUGCUUAACACAUGCAAGUCGAACGAUGAAGCCCAGCUUGCUGGGUGGAUUAGUGGCGAACGGGUGAGUAACACGUGAGUAACCUGCCCUUGACUCUGGGAUAAGCCUGGGAAACUGGGUCUAAUACUGGAUAUGACUUCUCAUCGCAUGGUGGGGGGGUGGAAAGAUUUAUUGGUCUUGGAUGGACUCGCGGCCUAUCAGCUUGUUGGUGAGGUAAUGGCUCACCAAGGCGACGACGGGUAGCCGGCCUGAGAGGGUGACCGGCCACACUGGGACUGAGACACGGCCCAGACUCCUACGGGAGGCAGCAGCGGGGAAUAUUGCACAAUGGGCGCAAGCCUGAUGCAGCGACGCCGCGUGAGGGAUGACGGCCUUCGGGUUGUAAACCUCUUUCAGUAGGGAAGAAGCGAGAGUGACGGUACCUGCAGAAGAAGCGCCGGCUAACUACGUG
rnacentral:rRNA from 1 species